rnacentral:lncRNA from 1 species
GCCAUUUCGCUUUCCCUUCCAGCUCCUUCAAUCGCUGAAAGCCAAAGGACCAAUGGAGGAAACCCAGCAUGUCUUUUCUUAGUAAGACUAACACAGAAAAUGGGUCGGAUUUCUAGCGUAUAUCCAGAAGAAUGGCUCUUCAGAGGCUGAACUCUGCAACCCUUAAAGGCAAUGGCUAUGUUAAGCAGCCCCUAAGGAUGGCGAGAGAUCACCUUCGUUUUAAAAGCACCUCUACAGAGAAUGUCAAAGCAAGCUAAAGGGAAGCAGCUGUUACUGUUCUCCCCCUGUUGUAGGGUGCAUCUAGCCCCACGGUAAGCCAGAACUGCCUGACGCCACUGAGGUGAUCUGCUGAUGCACAGCGUGGAGUUGCAUCUGUCAGGCUGUUCCUGGUACCCUGGUUGCUUUGUGCCCUGCUCCCCAGGGGCUGCAGAAAGUGAUUCCUCUGUCUGGGAAGGAGCAAGCCUUAUCCUCAUCCUUGUUCAUCUCUACCUGGGAAAGGCUUCUGUUUCAAUGAACUUUUCUUGACAAAAACAAAAGAAAAACAUGCUAUCAGAACUGGUCAGAAACUUUGCAAGUUUGCUGCGUACAUGUCUGUCCGUACUACUGUUUUUCCAUGUCUGUGCUGGUGUGAACUAAUAGAUUGUAAUAAGUAUAAAUCAGUACAUGCUUACAUUUCUUGUACGUCUUCAAACAGUCUGUCCCCUAACUCAAACAUGUAAAAGAGAAUAAAUAUCAGGCUCUGACUUAAUGGACUGUGUGG